rnacentral:tRNA from 1 species
GAAGGUGUAACUCAGUUGGUAGAGUGUGUCGCUUACAACGAUAAUGUCCUUGGUUCAAGUCCGAGCACCUUCA